rnacentral:rRNA from 1 species
AUGGCGGCGGAGGAGGCGAGCAGCAGCGGCGGCGGGGGCGGCGAGGAGGGGUCCGGUGCCGGGGCCGGCGGGUGGACGCGGGAGCAGGAGAAGGCGUUCGAGAACGCGCUGGCCACGGUGGAUGAGGAGGAGGGGGAGGCCAUGUGGGACAAGAUAGCCGACGCCGUCGAGGGCAAGACGCCCGAGGAGGUCCGGCGGCACUACGAGCUGCUCGUGGAGGACGUGGACGGCAUCGAGGCCGGCCGCGUGCCGCUGCUCGUCUACGCCGGCGACGGCGACGAGGGGGGCUCCGGCGGCGGGGCUGGGGGCAGCGGCGGGGGCGGGAAGAAGAGCGGCGGAGGAGGGGGCGGCCACGGGGAGAAGGGCUCGUCCAAGUCUGCCGAGCAGGAGCGCCGCAAGGGGAUCGCCUGGACCGAGGACGAGCACAGGCUGUUCCUUCUUGGACUUGAAAAGUAUGGCAAAGGUGACUGGAGGAGCAUCUCAAGGAACUUCGUCAUCUCAAGGACGCCCACUCAGGUCGCCAGUCACGCGCAGAAGUACUUCAUCCGCCUCAAUUCGAUGAACAGGGAGAGGCGGCGAUCAAGCAUACACGACAUCACCAGCGUGAACGGAGAGGCAUCAGCCGCUCAGGGCCCAAUCACAGGCACAAAUGGGCAGGCCGCAGUCCCCGGCAAGUCCCCCAAGCAAUCUCCGCACCAGCCAGGGAACCUGCCCCCAGGCGUGGACGCCUUCGGCACCACGAUCGGGCAGCCGGUUGGUGGCCCCCUCGUGUCCGCCGUCGGCACCCCGGUCACGCUCCCUGUCGCCGCUCCGCCUCACAUGGGGUACGCCAUGCACGCCCCGGUCCCAGGGACCGUGGUGCCCCGCGCUCCGAUGUACCCGAUGCCGCCCCCGCCGUCCCGGUGA